rnacentral:tRNA from 1 species
AUUUUUAUAGUGUAUAUAACACAUAACAUUUUCAGUGUUGUAAAGCAUCAGCUAAAAAUA